rnacentral:lncRNA from 1 species
GAUAAGAAUGAUGGAGAUAUAAUGACAAUGAUACUGGCAAUGAAAUGGGUCCACUUUACAAAGCAACCUAAAUCUGCUAUUAUUUCUGUGGUCAGAGAAUUUUAUGCCAAUGCGAGUUCAGAUGACCCUGCGGUAGUUCCUGUUUGGGGUAAACUGAUCCCUUAUGAUAGCCAGUCCAUCAACAAUGUAUUUGUGACUCCGAAUUAUGAUGGCCAUGACUACUUGGAG